CCUACGGGGGGCUGCAGUGGGGAAUUUUCCGCAAUGGGCGAAAGCCUGACGGAGCAAGACCGCGUGGGGGAAGAAGGUCUGUGGAUUGUAAACCCCUUUUGACAAGGAAGAAGACAAUGACGGUACUUGUCGAAUCAGCCUCGGCUAACUCCGUGCCAGCAGCCGCGGUAAUACGGAGGAGGCAAGCGUUAUCCGGAAUUAUUGGGCGUAAAGCGUCCGUAGGUGGUGAUGCAAGUCAGUUGUCAAAGCAUGGAGCUUAACUCCAUAGAGGCGAU
rnacentral:rRNA from 1 species